CUCUACAGCCAUACCACCCUAACUGCACCCGAUCUCAUCUGAUCUCGGAAGGUAAGCAGGGUCGGGCCUGAUUACCACUUGGAUGGGAGAAUAUAGAAUGAUGAUGCUGAUGAUG
rnacentral:rRNA from 1 species